CCUACGGGAGGCAGCAGUGGGGAAUAUUGGACAAUGGGGGCAACCCUGAUCCAGCCAUGCCGCGUGUGUGAAGAAGGCCCUCGGGUUGUAAAGCACUUUCAGUGAGGAAGAACGCCUGGUGGUUAAUACCCAUCAGGAAAGACAUCACUCACAGAAGAAGCACCGGCUAACUCCGUGCCAGCAGCCGCGGUAAUACGGAGGGUGCGAGCGUUAAUCGGAAUUACUGGGCGUAAAGCGCGCGUAGGUGGCUUGAUAAGCCGGUUGUGAAAGCCCCGGGCUCAACCUGGGAACGGCAUCCGGAACUGUCAAGCUAGAGUGCAGGAGAGGAAGGUAGAAUUCCCGGUGUAGCGGUGAAAUGCGUAGAGAUCGGGAGGAAUACCAGUGGCGAAGGCGGCCUUCUGGACUGACACUGCCACUGAGGUGCGAAAGCGUGGGUAGCAAACAGGAUUAGAUACCCCAGUAGUC
rnacentral:rRNA from 1 species